AGAUGGAAAAUCUUGCACUGGAGUCCGAAUUAAAAAAGAGGACAAUUAGGAAACUGGACCUUGAAAUAAAAAAAACUUGAGAGGGAGCUCCAAGAAGAUGACACAGCUCAAAAUAAAAAUGAGCAAUCAGUACAACCAAGUCAUCGUUAUAAGGCAUCGCCCUCUUUUGCCCACCCCCCCAGCACCAGGUGUGGCCACUAGCCUAUAUGAAGGCCCAAAAUUGUGUGUUCCUUUCUGCUCUGACAAUGGCAUGCCCAUUCGUGCGAGAUGUGGUGGAUGAAGAAGCACUUGUGCUGAGGAGAGUCUUCAGGCGAGAAAGGGUCUUCAGGGACCGGUUGGACCCACUGGCCUUCCCUGACGACCAUCUAUAUGAAAGAUACAGGUUUUCUGCAGAUGGCAUCAGGUAUCUAUGCAGACUACUGGGUCCCAGGAUUAAGCACCGCACUGCACGGAGCCAUGCACUGAGUGUGGAGCAAAUGGUUUGUGUGGCCUUGCGCUUUUUUGCUAGUGGAGCCUUCCUGUACUCAGUGGGGGAUGCAGAACAGCUGAACAAGGCCACAAUUUGCCGCACAAUAAGGAGUGUGUAUCUGGCUA